rnacentral:lncRNA from 1 species
GGCGCGGGCCCGCAGGGAGGCCGGGCCGGACCUGCGCCCAGGGACUGAAUCUCCGCGGCGGGAGGCCUCGGAUCGUCGGGCCCAGGCCGGGCGGGGCACCGGCUCCGAGCUGCGGCCGGGGGCGGCGCAGAGCCCGGGUCACCGCGUCCCCGGCUCCGGAAGGCGCGCGGGCGGGCGCGGGGCCGGAGGGAGCGCGCGCUCGGAGCCGCGUGCAGGGUUCAGCCGUGUUUCGGUUGCCCUCUGACCUGACCCUGGGCGCACAAAGGCCUCCCGGGUGCGCCGCCAUGGCCCAGCCUUCAGUCGCUGCCAAAUUAAUGAGCCCACGUCAGGUUGGGUUUACAGCUCGGCCGGGAAGCAGCCGAGUGGAAAAUGAGCCCGGGGCGGCCGCGGGGCCGGGGAAGUCGAGGCCGCGCCGCGGCGCCCUCCGCUCCCGCUCUCGCUCUCCCUCCUGCCGCCUCCCGAGGGGGCGGGCCUGCCGGGGAACCGGCUGGUCUGCGAGCAACGGGUCUGCCCUGCUUCCCGACGCCGUCGCAGACCCCGCAGAAGUCGAUCUGCUGGUUCAUCCUGAAGUCUGGAAGACUGGCUCCCUGUGCUGACGGCUCUGCUGUCCUAUAGCUCUUUAAACACUGUGGGGAAUUCCAUUCAAGAAAAAUGACCAGACUUGAAGCUGAUAAAGCGAUUAAGGUCGAUGGAAAACUACAACAACCCCAAUCAAGCAGGACUGCUAAUGACCCAGACUCUUCAGGAGUAAAGGUUUGAGUCACUCCACCAGGCAGGAACCGCGCCCAGCGGAGGUGCUUGCUUAUGGGAAAGAGUUACAGGUAUUGUGAAUCAACUAAAAGAAGAACUAACAUCGCCCCUAAACAAAAAAGGGACUUUGAGUCCUCUUCUGGGAAAGGGUUAUCGUGUUGUGAAGGUUGUACCAUUUCAGGCUGAAGCGUGACUUUGGUGUGGUUUUCAUUUGGAGAUAAAAUAUGGCUUAAGGAGCUGUGUACAGUGUAAGCUGACAAAGGGUCAUCUCUGGCGACUUUGCAAUGUGUCAGUGUGGCUAGACUGAAUUGUGUUUCUCAGAACUUCACUCCGUAUGUUUCCAGUUAGAGUGUGUCACAAGAGAGAUCCUGGUGUGAGAUCUGGAGGCCACGAGAGAAGCAGCAGCCACUGUUGCUGAUGUCCCGGUUCACCCUAUAGUGUCAUGCAGCAGCCGGGCCUACAGCUCCUCCACCUCCUCCUGGGGCUUCCUUCAGCUUCUCUGACUCCUGGGCCGGAUGCGUGUUGGGUCCACAAUGAAGGACAUCAACUUCUGCGGACACUCAGACCAUCAAGAUGCUGUGCCGUUCAUCUGUGCUCUUCCAGAACCUUCGCAGUUUAAGAUGUGAAAACAGACACUUCCUGAGCCUGAGCUCACCGCGGAGGCCUCUGGGCACUGGAAGAAGGUAGAGCACAAGCUGCUUUGGAUGAGUUCUACUGCGUGGCCCCGACUGGAAUGUUACAUCAAUAACAGUGUGAUAUGACGAUGAUAGCAGCCAACCUUGAUUUGGCCCGUCCCAUGUGCCAGUGCUCUGCAUGCAUCACGUUAUGGAGUUGUCACGAUAAGCCUAUGGGAUAGGGAUUAUUAGUACCCAUUUUACAAAUGCAAAACCUGAGGCUCGGAGAGGUUAAACAGGUUAUUCACCAGGUUAGUAACUGGUGGAGCUGGGCCUCAAACCAUUGGCCUCUCGAGCGUGGGCUCUCAACCAGUGCACUGUCAUGGAAGCUCCUCCUUGUGUGCACACUGGACUGCCCCAAAUGCCUGUGGAGGAAGAGAAUGUAAAAUUUCAUUUCGAUGCCCCUGGGAUCAAAG